AAAUCUUUCAUACAUGCUUUGUCGAUGGGGGAGCAAUUUAUCUUUCAAAAGUUUUUGUCAUCAUAAAAAAAGGGGAGAUUGUUGGCUUGUUUUUUAUAGCAAUCAAUUAUUUUUUAUGAUAACUAUGUGAGAUAAGCAUAAAAGAUAAAAUAAACUACUUUACAUUGUUUAAAUUAGACUUAACCAUUCAUGAGAAAUACCCUCUUUUAAGGGUAUAAUUAAAGUCUAACAAUUUAUUUAAGUGCUGCAGAAAUAUCAAGUAUAUGCAAUGUUUUGUGUCGACCCAAAAUUCCUUGUGUCCACCCUUGUAAAAUCCAGAAGCUUAACCCAAAAUACCUUGUGUCGACCCUUGUAAAAUCAAGAAGCUUAACCCAAAAUCCUUUGUGUCGACCCACAGCCUAUUGUGUCGACCCCUGUUCAAAACAGAGGCCGAGUCUUUCCAAUUGUGUCGACCCACCUAUAUAACUUUUGUCAACCCAAAAUGUAGUGCAGCGUGCAAAUGUGUCGACCCAUCCAAAAUGUCUGUGUCGACCCUAAAAAAAACAUUGUGUCGACCUUAUCGUAAUCUAUGUGUCGACCCCUCAAAGGCGAACCUGCACUUGGGUAUAGGGGUGAAAAACUAAUCAAACUGCCUAGUAGCCGGUUCCCUUUGAAGUUCCCCUCAGGAUAGCUAGAGCCCAUGGGCGAGUUCUAUCAGGUAAAGCCAAUGAUUAGAGGCAUCGGGGGCACAACGCCCUCAACCUACUCUCAAACUUUAAAUAGGUAGGAAGGCGCAGCUGCUUUGUUGAGCCGUGCCAUGGAAUCAAGAGCUCCAAGUGGGCCAUUUUUGGUAAGCAAAACUGGGGAUGUGGGAUGAACUGAAAGCUGGGUUACGGUGCCCAACUGCGCGCUAACCUAGAACCUACAAAGGGUGUUGGUCGAUUAAGAUAGCAGGACGGUGGUCAUGGAAGUCGAAAUCAGCUAAGGAGUGUGUAACAACUCACCUGCCAAAUCAACUAGCCCAAAAAAUGGAUGGCGGUGAUGCGCGUGACCUAUACCCAGCCGUCGGGGCAAGUACCAGGCCCCGAUGAGUAGGAGGGCAUGACGGUCGCUACAAAACUUGGGGCGCGAGCCCGGGUGGAGCGGCUGUCGGUGCAGAUCUUGGUGGUAGUAGAUAAUAUUCAAAUGAGAACUUUGAAGGCCGAAGAGGGGAAAGGUUCCAUGUAAACAGCACUUGCACAUGGUUAGUCGAUCCUAAGUGACAAGGCAAUCCCGUCUGACAGCGCCCAGCGCGCGAGCAUCGAAAUGGAAUUGGGUUAAAAUUCCUAAACGGAGACGUGGCGGCUGACGACAACGUUAGGGAGUCCGAAGACGUCGUUGGGGACCUUGGGAAGAGUUAUCUUUUCUGUUUAACAGCCUGCCCACCCUGGAAACGGCUUAGUCGGAGGUAGGGUCCAGCGGUUGGAAGAGCACCGCACGUCGCGCGGUGUUUGGUACGUUCUCGACGGCCCUUGAAAAUUUGGAGGACCGAGUGCCUCCCACGCCUGGUCAAACUCAUAACCGCAUCUGGUCUCCAAGGUGAACAACCUCUGGUCGAUGGAACAAUGUAGGCAAAGGAAGUCGGAAAAAUGGAUCCGUAACCUUGGCAAAAGGAUUGGCUCUGAGGGCUGGGCAUGGGGGUCCCCGUCCCUAAUCCGUCGGCUGUCGAUGGACUGCUCGAGCUGCUCUCGCGGGGAGAGCGGGUCGUCGUGUGCCGGCCGAGGGACGAACUGGGAACGGUUCCUUUGGGGGCCUUCCCCACGCAUCGAACAGUCGACUCAGAACUGGUACGGACAAGGGGAAUCUGACUGUUUAAUUAAAACAAAGCAUUGCGAUGGUCCUUGCGGAUGCUCACGCAAUGUGAUUUCUGCCCAGUGCUCUGAAUGUCAAAGUGAAGAAAUUCAACCAAGCGCCGAGUAAAUGGCGGAAGUAACUUUGACUCUCUUAAGGUAGCCAAAUGGCUCGUCAGUAACUAUAAAUGGAUUAACGAGAUUCCCACGGUCCCUGUCUACUAUCUAGCAAAACCACAGGCAAGGGAACGGGCUUGGCAGAAUCAGCAGAGAAAGAAGACCCUGUUGAGCUUGACUCUAGUCCGACUUUGUGAAAUGACUUGAGAGGUGUAGGAUAAGUAGGAGCCGGAAACAGAGAAAGUGGAAUACCACUACUUUUAACGUUAUUUUACUUAUUUCGUGAAUUAGAAGCGGGGCAACGCCCCUCUUUUUGGACCCAAGGCCCGCCUCGGCUGGUCGAUCCGGGCGGAAGACAUUGUAAGGUGAUGUGCCCGAGGACUCCCACCCACCGGAAGGCAUGGUGACCCGCAGCCGUGCAAGGCGUCUUUCUAAUGUGUUUGUUGAUUUUGCAGGGACAUUAUUACCUCCAAGAGGUCUCUUAGAUGCUCCCACUUCUAAUGAUAAAGAGCUCCCCAAGCAUUGCCUACAAUGGGAGCAUGAAAUGAGGGAGAUAACCACUGAAGUACCAAGAGCUCCUCCGUCCGAGGCAUCCCACCCGAAAGUGCACCAAGCCGAGGCCUAGUGGAUUCCUCUUCAUUCUAACAAGAGGAUAUCAUAGCAAGGGGAGGGCUGUUUGGUCAUCACGUGAUCAUAUAAAUAUAUAUAUAUAUAUAUAUAUAUAUAUAUUUGAAGUAGUUUGAAGUUGUAACCAAUUUUGGGUUGAAGCUUUGUUAGGUGUUGGUUUGGUUUGGACCAACUUGCUAGGUUUUAGUUUGGAUGGGACCAAUUCAAUUUCCUUCUUGUUUGGACUUAGGGAAAACCUAUUUUCCCAAGUGAAUUCUGUGAUUUUGUGGUCAACUUAGACGUGGGAUAGAGUCAAGGGCUGAUGGAGUGGGAGGCAAGUUGUGUUGGCUUUAAAAGGUUUUAAAGCAAUCAAUUAUUUUUUAUGAUAACUAUGUUA
rnacentral:rRNA from 1 species